GAUGAACGCUGGCGGCGUGCCUAAUACAUGCAAGUCGAGCGAACAGAUGAGGAGCUUGCUCCUCUGACGUUAGCGGCGGACGGGUGAGUAACACGUGGAUAACCUACCUAUAAGACUGGGAUAACUUCGGGAAACCGGAGCUAAUACCGGAUAAUAUAUUGAACCGCAUGGUUCAAUAGUGAAAGACGGUUUUGCUGUCACUUAUAGAUGGAUCCGCGCCGCAUUAGCUAGUUGGUAAGGUAACGGCUUACCAAGGCAACGAUGCGUAGCCGACCUGAGAGGGUGAUCGGCCACACUGGAACUGAGACACGGUCCAGACUCCUACGGGAGGCCGCAGUAGGGAAUCUUCCGCAAUGGGCGAAAGCUUGACGGAGCAACGCCGCGUGAGUGAUGAAGGUCUUCGGAUCGUAAAACUCUGUUAUUAGGGAAGAACAAAUGUGUAAGUAACUAUGCACGUCUUGACGGUACCUAAUCAGAAAGCCACGGCUAACUACGUG
rnacentral:rRNA from 1 species